AUUGAACGCUGGCGGCAGGCCUAACACAUGCAAGUCGAGCGAGCGGCGGACGGGUGAGUAAUGUCUGGGAAUCUGCCUGAUGGAGGGGGAUAACUACUGGAAACGGUAGCUAAUACCGCAUACCAUCAGAUGUGCCCAUAUGGGAUUAGCUAGUAGGUGGGGUAAAGGCUCACCUAGGCGACGAUCCCUAGCUGGUCUGAGAGGAUGAACAGCCACACUGGGACUGAGACACGGUCCAGACGCCUACGGGAGGCAGCAGUGGGGAAUAUUGCACAAUGGGCGCAAGCCUGAUGCAGCCAUGCCGCGUGUAUGAAGAAGGCCUUCGGGUUGUAAAGCACUUUCAGCGGGGAGGCGUUACCCGCAGAAGAAGCACCGGCUAACUCCGUGCCAGCAGCCGCGGUAAUUC
rnacentral:rRNA from 1 species